CAGGAGUAGAAAUAUGAGCAUGACCAGCAAAUAAUUCAUAUUUAAGGUCAGGAGACUAACAAGACACAGCUAACAAAUGAUGGAGCUGGGAUUAGGAUUUGGUUAAGUCUAAGCAAAGGUGUGAAUGCAGUCUAGAAUGAGUGGAUAUGAAAAAGCAAGGCUAAUGUAUAAUGGUAAAGCCAUUUAACCUUCUUGGCUGGAAGGCUAGUCAAGGAAGGGUUAUGUAGCUAAAAUUGCAAUGAGAAGUUCACAGCCAUUAGGAAAGUAGAGUAAUUUCUUACAUGCAAUUUCAUUUUUACUGGAUCAGGGAAAUAUUUGGAGUUAAAUAUGAAGUGGGACCAGCUGAAAAUAGUAGGUUAGAAAAUAGUACUUCAGUGGACUCCAAGCACAAAGAGGGCCAGAUGUAUCAGCUUUAACUCCCCUGUAAA
rnacentral:lncRNA from 10 species